GUGAACAUUUUUUUUUGUACACUGCUGCUCUCUCCGCCUCCGCUGUUGCGACGCGCUCUUUUGUUAGCCGCAGAGUUGUCUGUGUGUCUGUGUAUGCGUGCGACAGCAUUUUUUUUAUUUAUUUUUUUUUAAUGUGUGUGCUCUAAAGUUUAUUGUUGAAUAUGUUUUAAUAUCUUGCUUCUCUCUCUCUCUCUCUCUCUCACACACACUUGCUGUAAAUAUAUGUGUGUGUGUGUGUGCCUAUGUAUAUUUUAUAAACGUUUUCAGCGCUUUAAAAAACUGAGCAGUAGCAACAACAACAAAGCACCAAAAGGCAAAUUUUGUUUGCUAGCCAGUGUAUACAUACAUACUUAUGUGUAUUGUAUGUAUUGGUGUAUUUAUAUAUAUAUAUAUGUGUGUGUGUAUAUAUGUAUGAGUUUCUGUUUGCGUAAAGCAGAAGGAGAAGCAACGUCGUCGUCAACGUCAGCGUCGUCGUCGUCGUUUGCUUCAAGUGAAACAUGUUUUUGAUAUUGCCCACAGCAACAACAACUUAAAUAACAACAACAGCAAAUACGACAAAAGAGCAGCUGCAACAGAAGCAGCAAUAACAACAACAACCACAGAAUUGACAACAAUUUGUAACUCUACAGAAAAACAUCAACAAUCAUCAGUCAAAUCUCUGGACGACCACAUCUAUAGCAAGCUCAGUGAAGCAACAACAACAACAACAAAAUAUUAAUAACAAUAAUAAAAAAGCGAAAACCAAAACAACAACAACAGAGAAACCAUCAAACAACAAUUGUGUUCAAAAGUUAAUAAAUCGUGCGUGUUAUUUAUGUGUGUUGUUUAUUUGAUUUCCCCUCUCACGUGAAAUGUUUGUUCCCAUGCAAAAUGUGCACAACAGUACUUUGCAUUAACAACAACAAUCAUAAUAAACAUAAUAAUAAUAGUAAUAACUACAGCAGAAGAGCCAGCAGCAAAAAGAAGUUCAACAACAACAAUUUAACGACAACAACAAUAACUUAAGGGGGAAAAAUAAAACAAAAUUUCCUUUUUGGCCUUACGCCUCUCUCCGAUCUUCGUGUCCACUCUACUCUCUUCGGCCUACAAUACUGCUGAGUGCGUGCGUGCGGGUGUGUGAGAGAGUCAAAGCAAGAGAGUGAGUGAUAGAGUUUUGUGCGUUGUUUUUGUUUUCGUUGCACACGCACACGCAUAGCUCGGUCGGUGUGUGUGUGCAAUGGAUUUGCAUUGUUAUUGCAAUACUAUGAACUGUGUGUUGUGUGUGU